UUCCGGUUGAUCCUGCCGGAGGCCAUUGCUAUUGGAGUCCGAUUUAGCCAUGCUAGUCGCACGGGUUCAGACCCGUGGCGAAUAGCUCCGUAACACGUGGCCAAACUACCCUAUGGAUCGGAAUAACCUCGGGAAACUGAGGCUAAUACCGAAUACCGCUCUCAUCCUGGAACUGGAGAGAGCACCAAACGCUCCGGCGCCAUAGGAUGUGGCUGCGGCCGAUUAGGUAGACGGUGGGGUAACGGCCCACCGUGCCGAUAAUCGGUACGGGUUGUGAGAGCAAGAGCCCGGAGACGGUAUCUGAGACAAGAUACCGGGCCCUACGGGGCGCAGCAGGCGCGAAACCUUUACACUGCACGAACGUGCGAUAAGGGGACUCCAAGUGCGAGGGCAUACAGUCCUCGCUUUUCUGUACCGUAAGGUGGUACAGGAAUAAGAGCUGGGCAAGACCGGUGCCAGCCGCCGCGGUAAUACCGGCAGCUCAAGUGAUGGCCAAUAUUAUUGGGCCUAAAGCGUCCGUAGCUGGCCGAACAGGUCCGUCGGGAAAUCCGCUCGCUCAACGAGCGGACGUCCGGCGGAAACCAGUCGGCUUGGGACCGGAAGACCCGAGGGGUACGGCCGGGGUAGGAGUGAAAUCCUGUAAUCCUGGCCGGACCACCGGUGGCGAAAGCGCCUCGGGAAGACGGAUCCGACAGUGAGGGACGAAAGCUAGGGUCACGAACCGGAUUAGAUACCCGGGUAGUCCUAGCUGUAAACGAUGCUCGCUAGGUGUGGCACUGGCUACGAGCCAGUGCUGUGCCGUAGGGAAGCCGAGAAGCGAGCCGCCUGGGAAGUACGUCCGCAAGGAUGAAACUUAAAGGAAUUGGCGGGGGAGCACUACAACCGGAGGAGCCUGCGGUUUAAUUGGAGUCAACGCCGGA
rnacentral:rRNA from 1 species